rnacentral:rRNA from 1 species
GAUGAACGCUGGCGGCGUGCCUAAUACAUGCAAGUCGAGCGAACGGACGAGAAGCUUGCUUCUCUGAUGUUAGCGGCGGACGGGUGAGUAACACGUGGAUAACCUACCUAUAAGACUGGGAUAACUUCGGGAAACCGGAGCUAAUACCGGAUAAUAUUUUGAACCGCAUGGUUCAAAAGUGAAAGACGGUCCUGCUGUCACUUAUAGAUGGAUCCGCGCUGCAUUAGCUAGUUGGUAAGGUAACGGCUUACCAAGGCAACGAUGCAUAGCCGACCUGAGAGGGUGAUCGGCCACACUGGAACUGAGACACGGUCCAGACUCCUACGGGAGGCAGCAAUAGGGAAUCUUCCGCAAUGGGCGAAAGCCUGACGGAGCAACGCCGCGUGAGUGAUGAAGGUCUUCGGAUCGUAAAACUCUGUUAUUAGGGAAGAACAUAUGUGUAAGUAACUGUGCACAUCUUGACGGUACCUAAUCAGAAAGCCACGGCUAACUACGUG